GGAGCCGUAGCGAAAGCGAGUUUUAACUGAGCGUUCAGUUACUUGACGUAGACCCGAAACCGGGCGACCUACCCAUGAGCAGGAUGAAGCGAAAGUAAAAUUUCGUGGAGGUCCGAACCCACGAGCGUUGAAAAGCUCGGGGAUGACUUGUGGGUAGCGGUGAAAUUCCAAUCGAGCCCGGAGAUAGCUGGUUCUCCCCGAAAUAGCUUUAGGGCUAGCCUCAAGGUGAGAGAUACGGAGGUAGAGCACUGAAUGUCCUAGGGGGUAUUGCACCUACCGAAGACUAUCAAACUCCGAAUGCCGUCAUCUUAUACUUGGGAGUCAGACUGUGGGUGAUAAGAUUCAUAGUCGAAAGGGCAACAGCCCAGAUCGUCAGCUAAGGUCCCUAAAUGUAAGUUAAGUGGUAAAGGAUGUGGGAUUGCACAGACAACCAGGAUGUUGGCUUAGAAGCAGCCACUCAUUCAAAGAGUGCGUAAUAGCUCACUGGUCGAGUGAUCCUGCGCCGAAGAUUUCCGGGGCUAAAACUUACUACCGAAGCUACGGCAUCAGUAAUGAUGGGUAGGGGAGCUUCCCAUACGGGUUGAAGCAUGACCGUAAGGACAUGUGGACAGUAUGGGAGUGAGAAUGUUGGCAUGAGUAGCGAGAUGUGGGUGAGAAUCCCACAGGCCGUAAACCCAAGGUUUCCAGGGGAAGGUUCGUCCGCCCUGGGUUAGUCGGGACCUAAGCUGAGGCCGAAAGGCGUAGGUGAUGGACAACAGGUUGAUAUUCCUGUACUACCGAUAACCGUUUGAGAGAAGGGAUGACACAGUAGGAUAAGCUAAGCACACUGUUGGUUAUGUGUGCCCAAGCAUUGAGGCAGUCAAAGUAGGCAAAUCCGCUUUGAUAAUGCUGGGAUGUGAUGGGGAGCGAAAUUUAGUAGCGAAGUAGCUGAUUUCACACUGUCAAGAAAAGUCUCUAUCGAGGUUAAAGGUACCCGUACCGCAAACCGACACAGGUGGGUGAGGAGAGUAUCCUAAGGCCAGCGAGAGAACUGUUGUUAAGGAACUCGGCAAAAUGACCCCGUAACUUAGGGAUAAGGGGUGCCACCAUCAGGUGGCCGCAGAGAAUAGGCCCAAGCGACUGUUUACCAAAAACAUAGGUUUCUGCUAAGUCGCAAGACGAUGUAUAGGAGCUGACGCCUGCCCGGUGCUGGAAGGUUAAGGGGAUCUGUUAGAGCAAUCGAAGCAGUGAACUUAAGCCCCAGUAAACGGCGGCCGUAACUAUAACGGUCCUAAGGUAGCGAAAUUCCUUGUCGGGUAAGUUCCGACCCGCACGAAAGGCGUAACGAUUUGGGCACUGUCUCAACAACAGACUCGGUGAAAUUGUAAUUCCGGUGAAGAUGCCGGAUACCUGCGACAGGACGGAAAGACCCCAUGGAGCUUUACUGUAGCUUGACAUUGGGUCUUGGUACUACAUGUACAGGAUAGGUGGGAGGCUUUGAAACCAGGACGCCAGUUUUGGCGGAGCCAUCCUUGGGAUACCACCCUUGUAGUACUGGGACUCUAACCAUAG
rnacentral:rRNA from 1 species